GACAGAGGGUGCAAACGUUGGCCGGAUUUACUGGGCGUAAAGGGCGUGCAGGCGGUUUGUUAAGUGCAGGGUGAAAGCUCCCGGCUCAACUGGGAGAGGUCCUUGCAUACUGGCGAACUCGAGGGAGGCAGAGGAAAGUGGAAUUCCCGGUGUAGUGGUGAUAUGCGUAGAUAUCGGGAGGAACACCUGUGGCGAAGGCGGCUUUCUGGGCCUUACCUGACGCUGAGACGCGAAAGCGUGGGGAGCGAACCGG
rnacentral:rRNA from 1 species